rnacentral:rRNA from 1 species
AGUGAACGCUGGCGGUAGGCCUAACACAUGCAAGUCGAACGGCAGCACAGUAAGAGCUUGCUCUUACGGGUGGCGAGUGGCGGACGGGUGAGGAAUACAUCGGAAUCUACUUUUUCGUGGGGGAUAACGUAGUGAAACUUACGCUAAUACCGCAUACGACCUACGGGUGAAAGCAGGGGAUCUUCGGACCUUGCGCGAUUGAAUGAGCCGAUGUCGGAUUAGCUAGUUGGCGGGGUAAAGGCCCACCAAGGCGACGAUCCGUAGCUGGUCUGAGAGGAUGAUCAGCCACACUGGAACUGAGACACGGUCCAGACUCCUACGGGAGGCAGCAGUGGGGAAUAUUGGACAAUGGGCGCAAGCCUGAUCCAGCCAUACCGCGUGGGUGAAGAAGGCCUUCGGGUUGUAAAGCCCUUUUGUUGGGAAAGAAAAGCAGCAGGUGAAUACCCCGCUGUUCUGACGGUACCCAAAGAAUAAGCACCGGCUAACUUCGUG